GUACUAAGAGAAAACGUGAUGAUGAACCAACCAGUUCAAGAGUUACCAGUGCGCAGCCUCAGCUGACAACAGAAAAGAUCAUAAUUGAGCAAACAAAGGAGAUCAUGACAAGGGCCAAUGAAAAAAUCCAAGCCACGAAGAACGCAGAUGAAACCAAAAUUGAGCUACACAAUUACAUUGUGGAAGCUAUUUCCAAGAUGAAUGAAAACAACCGUAAGAAGAAAACCAUUGGGGUUUUGGGAGAUUUAGGACAAGGAAAGACCUCAUUGUUAAAUGCAAUCCUGGAGAAAAGAAAUUUGCUGCCAUCUGGUUGUUUUGGUGCCUGUACAGCCGUU